GAUGAACGCUGGCGGCGUGCCUAAUACAUGCAAGUCGAGCGAACGGAUAAGGAGCUUGCUCCUUUGCAGUUAGCGGCGGACGGGUGAGUAACACGUGGGUAACCUACCUAUAAGACUGGAAUAACUUCGGGAAACCGGGGCUAAUGCCGGAUAACAUUUGGAACUGCAUGGUUCUAAAGUAAAAGAUGGUCUUGCUAUCACUUAUAGAUGGACCCGCGCCGUAUUAGCUAGUUGGUAAGGUAACGGCUACCAAGGCAACGAUACGUAGCCGACCUGAGAGGGUGAUCGGCCACACUGGAACUGAGACACGGUCCAGACUCCUACGGGAGGCAGCAGUAGGGAAUCUUCUGCAAUGGACGAAAGUCUGACGGAGCAACGCCGCGUGAGUGAUGAAGGUUUUCGGAUCGUAAAACUCUGUUAUUAGGGAAGAACAAAUGUGUAAGUAACUGUGCACAUCUUGACGGUACCUAAUCAGAAAGCCACGGCUAACUACGUGCCAGCCGCCGCAGUAA
rnacentral:rRNA from 1 species